rnacentral:lncRNA from 1 species
CAGGGGGGUACCGCCCGCCUCCCAGAACCAAAGAAGUCAUCAUCAAUGGCCAGACCGUGAAACUUAAAUACUGUUUCACCUGCAAGAUUUUCCGGCCCCCUCGCGCCUCCCAUUGCAGCCUUUGUGAUAACUGCGUAGUCUUUAUAUUUGCAUUCGUUAUCACCCACGUCAUUCUUCGUUCACAGCAAACAGGAUUCCUAAAUGCCCUUAAGGACAGUCCUGCAAGCGUCCUGGAGGCUGUGGUGUGCUUCUUCUCUGUCUGGUCCAUCGUUGGCCUCUCAGGAUUCCACACCUACUUGAUCAGCUCCAACCAGACAACAAAUGAGGA